rnacentral:siRNA from 1 species
GAUAAUGAUGUAUGGUUAAAGCA